rnacentral:misc_RNA from 1 species
UCAGUUUUUGGGGUGUGGGUAUCGGAAUGUGUGGUAGGUGAUGUGUGUGUGUAUGGGGGAUGCCGAGGGGACCAGCGGUGCGGUGGUGUGUGCAGGCGUGAGAGUGUAUCUGCAAGUAUGAGGGAUGUGAGUGCAGCGAGUUAGAGGUGGUUCCAUGUGGAAUAGUGGGAUUGGUACGUGAUGGUUGGAUGGGGGAAUGAUGUGUGUAUGGGUGAGGAAAAUCGGAGGUUGCGGUGCGAGCGG